rnacentral:rRNA from 1 species
AGCGGGGGUCUUUCGAGACCUCGCACAGAAGGAUGAGCCUGCGUCUGAUUAGCUAGUUGGUGGGGUAAAGGCCUACCAAGGCGACGAUCAGUAGCUGGUUUGAGAGGAUGAUCAGCCACACCGGGACUGAGACACGGCCCGGACUCCUACGGGAGGCAGCAGUGGGGAAUAUUGGACAAUGGGCGAAAGCCUGAUCCAGCCAUGCCGCGUGUGUGAAGAAGGCUCUAGGGUUGUAAAGCACUUUAAGCAGGAAAGAAAAGCGCCGGGUUAAUACCCCGAGCGUCCUGACGGUACCUGCAGAAUAAGCACCGGCAAACUCCGUGCCAGCAGCCGCGGUAAUACGGAGGGUGCAAGCGUUAAUCGGAAUUACUGGGCGUAAAGCGAGCGCAGGCGGUUGCGUGUGUCGGAUGUGAAAGCCCUGGGCUCAACCUGGGAAUUGCAUUC